AUUGAACGCUGGCGGCAGGCCUAACACAUGCAAGUCGAACGAGUGGCGGACGGGUGAGUAAUGUCUGGGAAACUGCCCGAUGGAGGGGGAUAACUACUGGAAACGGUAGCUAAUACCGCAUACCAUCGGAUGUGCCCAGAUGGGCUUAGCUUGUAGGUGAGGUAACGGCUAACCUAGGCGACGAUCCCUAGCUGGUCUGAGAGGAUGAACAGCAAGAUUGGAAAUGAGAAACGGGCCAUGUCCCGAAGGGAGGCAGCAGCUGGGAAUAGUGUAAAAGUGGGGCAAGACUGAGAUAGCCAUGACGGGUGUAUGAAGAAGGCCUUCGGGUUGGAAAAUACUUUCAGCGGGGAGGCGUUACCCGCAGAAGAAGCACCGGCUAACUCCGUGCCAGCAGCCGCUGUAAUUC
rnacentral:rRNA from 1 species